rnacentral:rRNA from 1 species
CCUACGGGAGGCAGCAGUGAGGAAUAUUGGUCAAUGGUCGGGAGACUGAACCAGCCAAGCCGCGUGAGGGAUGAAGGUACAGAGUAUCGUAAACCUCUUUUGUCAGGGAACAAAGGCGGGGACGCGUUCCCGGAUGAGUGUACCUGAAGAAAAAGCAUCGGCUAACUCCGUGCCAGCAGCCGCGGUAAUACGGAGGAUGCGAGCGUUAUCAGGAUUUAUUGGGUUUAAAGGGUGCGCAGGCGGUCUGUUAAGUCAGCGGUCAAAGCCCGGGGCUCAACCCCGGCCCGCCGUUGAAACUGGCAGUCGCGAGUUGGAGAGAAGUAUGCGGAAUGCGCGGGGUAGCGGUGAAAUGCAUAGAUAUCGCGCAGAACUCCGAUUGCGAAGGCAGCAUGCCGGCUCCACACUGACGCUGAGGCACGAAAGCGUGGGUAUCGAACAGGAUUAGAUACCCCAGUAGUC